rnacentral:tRNA from 1 species
UCCCUGGUGGUCCAGUGGUUAAGACUCUACUCUCAUUGCAGAGGGCCUAGGUUCAAUCCCUGACCAGGGAA